CUGUUCCUCAUCCUCUCUGUGGAGCCACCAUGUGAGCCCAAGAAGACAGGAUGCCUUCCACCAGUGUCCACCAUAAGCAGGAAAAAGAAGAAAACAAAACAAAACAAAAAGGAUGCUGGAAAAGCCAGGUUUGGACUCAACUCCACACUUCAGACUAACUGGAAUUCACCCUGACCUCAGAGCCACAGCAGGAAGAUGAGGCCCUUUCAUGACAACACUCACUGCACAGUUAACCUUCCUAAGAGGGAAACACAGAAUGGAAAAAUUGGAGGUGGUUACAUCCAUGAGCUCAUACACGUUCUACAGAUCCUCCAAACCAAGAACCAAAACCAAGAAAUGGUAUAUGAGAAGAACAAAGUCGACGCUCAAAAUGUGACCUUUGCUGUGGGUCAUCUCUCACCCACUACUACUCUGUGCUCUGGUUUCCUCUCCUAUAUAUAAAAGACUUCCAUUAAAUGGCUAACAAAAUAUUUCCCAUCCAGAAAGUUCAGUAAUGUUAGCACAAUGGCUUUAGAAUAUGUGAAUAAAAAUGAUGUUGUCCUACAUAGAUGUCAUUAAUGAGGACUGUUGUUGGUCUAGGUGGCUGUGCUUUUUUUCUUUGCAUUCCUAUUGUAUUUGUUGAUGUUCUUUGUCAUUGGGCCAUACUCUUAGCCACUGUGUUGUAUUACAAGCAUCUGUGGAAAGAACAAUGCUAUUGAACUAUUUAUCUGCUACUUACAGCAUUUCAAAAAGCAACACAAAAGUCACUUUAG
rnacentral:lncRNA from 1 species